CACUGUAUAAUAGUCAGUAAAAGAGAACAUUGAUUAACACUAAUCAUCAGCUCUUUGUGUACAGCACAGCAGGAUGAAGGUGAAUGUCAUCUUCCAGGCAAGAUAAAAGUGUUUAAGGAAAGACCAACUGCAGCAGUGCCUAACUCGGAAAAAGAGCCAGCGUCUGUGAAACUUGGUUCUUUGGCCUUGCAGCAUCUGCCUCUCAUCCUCCAGAAGUUGAGGAGUGUGAAGAAUUGGGGAGGAUGAUGCUACCCACAAAUUCAUCUAAAAGCCCAACUGAGUGAGAACCACAUACAUGCUCAAACAAACAUAUACUUCAGUCCUCUAUAUGUGACAGUAAAAGCUUUUAUAUGUAAUUCUGUCUGUUUAUGUUAUAAAUGCUUAAAAGGUACAUUAUUUUCACUAUGCUUUCAGAUUCAGAAGUUGUUGGAAUCCCAGUGGUCAAAGGUCUUAUUCCUUCUGCACACUAGGAAUGAUUCUGACAUGAAUCAGGAUUAUCUUUUCUACAUUAAUUUGUUGCUGUUUGUUGGUUAGGCCAUGUUCAGGCCUGUUCUAAUUCUUGUGUCAAUUGUUCUAACAUUGAAAAUAUUUAUAUAUCAGUACAUAUAUAUAACUACAGAGUUCGUGAUUUGCAUGUUUUUUUUUGCAUGUUAUUCUUUAAAAGUUUGAUAUGCACAUGAUUUACAGAUGCAUGAAGCUGUAGAGUACUCAUGUACUGUAGAUCAUACCACAUCAUACCACACCCCUAAUAUUAUAAAAAUUCUUAACAUGUGUUCUAUGGGUUUGCAUGCAUUUACAUUACUAUUAAUUAACACAUUUACAUUUUUCUGUGUUAGGUAGGCAUAAACCACCAGCAACUCUCUCAAAACCAGACAGGCCUGAUGAAUACAGUGCUACUUCAUCUCCACGGCCAGUGAGGGUUCCUUUGCCAGUACCUCCAGAGUUGUUUAAUUAUCUACAAGCAAGACCACAUCUCCAUUAACACCAGUGCAUGAAACCGUUUUCUGUCAGUUGACCUCUGCACAGUCUACAGACUCUACUUCUCCCUGCAGCUGCUGUCCAGUCUUUCUCAGGACUCCCUGCAGCCUCUUCUGGGUACCCCUCAACUCAAAGUGACUGCCCUCAUGUCUCCUGUUUCUGAAUGUAUGCAUUGUAAUUAUUGUAACAUAAAAAUAUAACUCUGUAUUUUGAUUGUUAUGGAUAUCUGUUUAAUGCAGAAACCACUGUGGUAGUUUAUUAAUUUUGGCACAAUCCUAUUUAUAACUGUACUGUAUACAUUCACAUGGGCAGUAGGAUUCAUCUGUGUUUAACUGAAAAAGUACUGUGUAGCCUUAUUAAGCCUGUUUCUGUUUCUUAAAACGGUCACUUAAUUUCAUAGAUUGAUUAUUUAUUUUGGUCAUCUUGAGAUA